UGUGUUCUCUGAUGUCCUGUAUUUAAAGUGAUGUCUUUCUUAAGAUGCAACCGCCCACUUUUUCCAGGGGGGUGACUUUCCUAAAGGUGGUGGGAGUCUCUUGGGGUGGAGGCCCUGGGAGGGCCGGGCGGGAGUGGUGGUCGUGGAGAGAGGUGGCAUCAAGACAAGUUGUCACAUGGCCGUGUUGCUUUUGUGCCUGGAAUACAGCCCGUGUCGCCUGUCACUGUCCCAUCGUGCGGUGAGAAGCCCGAAUGUGGGGUCUGUGCUCGGUCAGAGCACUAAUAAAAUCAUUUGUAAGAAACUGGCUCAAAUCUCCUGACCUCAGGUUUUUUAUUUAAAUUUAAAAAAAGUUAAAUACAUACAGUGUGCUGUUUACCAUCGUGGCCAUUUGUAGGCAUGUCAAGUUCAUGCACAUUGUCCACCACCACCAUCCAUCCUCAGAACUCACCUUCCCACCGGAGCCCUGUCCCCAUGCAGCCCUAACGCUCCCUCGCGCAGCCCCAGCCGCCACCCACUGUCCUGUGAGUGUGGCAUCACAGCGGCGCGGCCCAGGUGGAG